AUUGAACGCUGGCGGCAGGCCUAACACAUGCAAGUCGAACGGUAACAGGAAGCAGCUUGCUGCUUCGCUGACGAGUGGCGGACGGGUGAGUAAUGUCUGGGAAACUGCCUGAUGGAGGGGGAUAACUACUGGAAACGGUAGCUAAUACCGCAUAACGUCGCAAGACCAAAGAGGGGGACCUUAGGGCCUCUUGCCAUCGGAUGUGCCCAGACGGGAAUAGCUAGUAGGUGGGGUGACGGCUCACCUAGGCGACGAUCCCUAUCUGGUCUGGGAGGAUGACCAGCCAACCUGGAAAUGAGACACGGUCCAGACUCCUACGGGAGGCAGCAGUGGGGAAUAUUGAACAUUGGGCUCAAGCCUGAUGCAGCCAUGCCGCGUGUAUGAAGAAGGCCUUCGGGUUGUAAAAUACUUUCAGCGGGGAGGAAGGUAGUAAAGUUAAUACCUUUGCAUAUUGACGUUACCCUCAGAAGAAGCACCGGCUAACUCCGUG
rnacentral:rRNA from 1 species